CUGCUCAAUUCACUGUCAUUUAGGAGUUAAAUCACUUUGUUUCUGUUUAUGCAGCCCUAGCCACACCUCCCCUGGCUAUGAUUGACAGAGCCUGCAUGGAAAAAAAACUGGUUUCACUUUCAAACAGAUGUAAUUUACCUUAAAUAAUUGUAUCUCAAUCUCUAAAUUGAACUGUAAUCACAUACAGGAGGCUCUUGCAGGGUCUAGCAAGCUAUUAACAUAGCAGGGGAUAAGAAAAUCUUAAUUAAACAGAACUUGCAAUAAAGAAAGCCUAAAUAGGGCUCUCUUUACAGGAAGUGUUUAUGGAAGGCUGUGCAAGUCACAUGCAGGGAGGUGUGACUAGGGUUCAUAAACAAAGGGAUUUAAC